rnacentral:rRNA from 1 species
AUGGCAACCCCCGGCCAUAGCAUAAGCCACCUCACCCCCGCGCCGGAGUUCGCCGCCGUCUGCCUCAUUCACGGGCUGCCCGUCGCCGUCCCGGACCCAACCCUCGCCGCACCGGCCUUCCGCCUCGCCAUCUGCCAGUUCGCCUCCCGGCUCCCGCGCACCACCCAUCCCUCACCGUCCACUGACUGUCUCACUCCCCUCCCGCCCACGACCAUCCCCUCGACGCGCGCCACCGUCGCUCACCUAUCGCGACCCGCCGGCCGGCCGCCGUACCAUAGAGAUAGAGAAGGGAUUACAGAGGGGGAGAGAGAGAGGGGAGAGUGGCUGCACCUCGACGCGCGCCGCCGCUGCCUUCUCUGCCGCGGGUGA